CAGGAGGCCUGAGGCAGAGGUUGGGGACUCUUUUAGCCUGAACGCUCUGGAGAGGAGACACAACAGAGGGCUGGCCUCCAAUCAACACCAGCUGCAACCUUCACUAAUUGAUGGUUAACCCUGCAGCCCUGAUGCAUUGCAAGACUUGUUGCAGAUGAGACCUGUGUUCCCCCAAGGACUGAAAAUGACCACCUUUUUGGAAAAGCUCAGCACCAACUUGACUACUUGCUUCGUUGAGCUGUCAGAGGAUAUAUGAGACGGGAUGAAUUUCAAGAAGCAGCUGCAGGUGGUGUUUACUAACCAGCCGAUCAACUUCAGCAGGGUGGACAACAUUGUGAGGUGGUCGCAUCUCUGCAGUGGAGCGCGACUGGAGAUUGACUCUGUAGCGCAUCAUAAAUGAAGAUAAUGGACAGGCCUCCAAUCAACACCAGCUGCAACCUUCACGAAACGGAUUAUUUUCCAAUAAACGUUAAAAACUGU